rnacentral:rRNA from 1 species
UUGGGCGUAAGAGCUCGUAGGCGGUUUGUCGCGUCUGCCGUGAAAGUCCGGGGCUCAACUCCGGAUCUGCGGUGGGUACGGGCAGACUAGAGUGAUGUAGGGGAGACUGGAAUUCCUGGUGUAGCGGUGAAAUGCGCAGAUAUCAGGAGGAACACCGAUGGCGAAGGCAGGUCUCUGGGCAUUAACUGACGCUGAGGAGCGAAAGCAUGGGGAGCGAACAGGAUUAGAUACCCUGGUAGUCCAUGCCGUAAACGUUGGGCACUAGGUGUGGGGGACAUUCCACGUUUUCCGCGCCGUAGCUAACGCAUUAAGUGCCCCGCCUGGGGAGUACGGCCGCAAGGCUAAAACUCAAAGGAAUUGACGGGGGCCCGCACAAGCGGCGGAGCAUGCGGAUUAAUUCGAUGCAACGCGAAGAACCUUACCAAGGCUUGACAUGAACCGGAAAGAUCUGGAAACAGGUCCCCCACUUGUGGUCGGUUUACAGGUGGUGCAUGGUUGUCGUCAGCUCGUGUCGUGAGAUGUUGGGUUAAGUCCCGCAACGAGCGCAACCCUCGUUCUAUGUUGCCAGCACGUGAUGGUGGGGACUCAUAGGAGACUGCCGGGGUCAACUCGGAGGAAGGUGGGGACGACGU